CGGACAUGAUCUGCGGGCAGAUGAGGUGGACGUGGCAGUCGAUCGCACCGGCGGUGAGGAUGCGGCCGUUGCCGGCGAUGAUCUCGGUGGACGGGCCGACGACCAGGUCCGGGUGCACGCCCGACAUGACGUCGGGGUUGCCGGCCUUGCCGAUCGCGACGAUCCGCCCGUCGCGGAUGCCGACGUCGGCCUUGACGAUGCCCCAGUAGUCCAGGAUCACCGCACCGGUGAUGACGGUGUCGGGGGCGCCGUCGGCGCGGGUGGCGCGCGACUGGCCCAUCGAUUCCCGCAG
rnacentral:sRNA from 1 species